rnacentral:rRNA from 1 species
UACGUAGGGGGCAAGCGUUGUCCGGAAUCAUUGGGCGUAAAGCGCGUGUAGGCGGCUCGGUAAGUCCGCUCUGAAAGUCCAGGGCUCAACCCUGGGAUGCGGGUGGAUACUGCCGAGCUCGAGUCCGGAAGAGGCGAGUGGAAUUCCUGGUGUAGCGGUGAAAUGCGUAGAUAUCGGGAGGAACACCUGUGGCGAAAGCGGCGCACUGGACCACAACUGACGCUGAGGCGCGAAAGCUAGGGGAGCGAACGGG